rnacentral:rRNA from 1 species
ACUCCUACGGGAGGCAGCAGUCAGGAAUAUUGCGCAAUGGAGGAAACUCUGACGCAGCGACGCCGCGUGGGUGAUGAAGGCCUUCGGGUCGUAAAGCCCUGUCGGAGGGGAAGAAAAGUCUGUUGGCUAAUAUCCAAUGGACCUUUGACGGUACCCUUAAAGGAAGCACCGGCUAACUCCGUGCCAGCAGCCGCGGUAAGACGGAGGGUGCAAGCGUUGUUCGGAUUGACUGGGCGUAAAGGGCGUGUAGGCGGUUGGUCAAGUCGGGUGUGAAAGCCUGAGGCUCAGCCUCAGAAGUGCAUCCGAAACUAGCCAGCUAGAGCGCGAUAGAGGAGGGUGGAAUUCCUGGUGUAGCGGUGAAAUGCGUAGAGAUC